rnacentral:rRNA from 1 species
AGAGUUUGAUCCUGGCUCAGGGCGAACGCUGGCGGCGCGCCUAACACAUGCAAGUCGAACGAGAGAGGGGGAGCUUGCUUCCUUGAUCGAGUGGCGAACGGGUGAGUAACGCGUGAGGAACCUGCCUCAGAGAGGGGGACAACAGUUGGAAACGACUGCUAAUACCGCAUAAGCCCACGACCCGGCAUCGGGAAGAGGGAAAAGGAGCAAUCCGCUGAAAGAUGGCCUCGCGUCUGAUUAGCUAGUUGGUGGGGUAACGGCCCACCAAGGCGACGAUCAGUAGCCGGUCUGAGAGGAUGAACGGCCACAUUGGGACUGAGAUACGGCCCAGACUCCUACGGGAGGCAGCAGUGGGGAAUAUUGGGCAAUGGGCGAAAGCCUGACCCAGCAACGCCGCGUGAAGGAAGAAGGCCUUCGGGUUGUAAACUUCUUUUACCAGGGACGAAGGACGUGACGGUACCUGGAGAAAAAGCAACGGCUAACUACGUGCCAGCAGCCGCGGUAAUACGUAGGUUGCAAGCGUUGUCCGGAUUUACUGGGUGUAAAGGGCGUGUAGGCGGAGAUGCAAGUUAGGAGUGAAAUCUAUGGGCUCAACCCAUAAACUGCUUCUAAAACUGUAUCCCUUGAGUAUCGGAGAGGCAAGCGGAAUUCCUAGUGUAGCGGUGAAAUGCGUAGAUAUUAGGAGGAACACCAGUGGCGAAGGCGGCUUGCUGGACGACAACUGACGCUGAGGCGCGAAAGCGUGGGGAGCAAACAGGAUUAGAUACCCUGGUAGUCCACGCUGUAAACGAUGAAUACUAGGUGUGGGGGGACUGACCCCCUCCGUGCCGCAGUUAACACAAUAAGUAUUCCACCUGGGGAGUACGACCGCAAGGUUGAAACUCAAAGGAAUUGACGGGGGCCCGCACAAGCAGUGGAUUAUGUGGUUUAAUUCGACGCAACGCGAAGAACCUUACCAGGACUUGACAUCCAACUAACGAAGUAGAGAUACAUCAGGUGCCCUUCGGGGAAAGUUGAGACAGGUGGUGCAUGGUUGUCGUCAGCUCGUGUCGUGAGAUGUUGGGUUAAGUCCCGCAACGAGCGCAACCCCUAUUGUUAGUUGCUACGAAAGAGCACUCUAGCGAGACUGCCGUUGACAAAACGGAGGAAGGCGGGGACGACGUCAAAUCAUCAUGCCCCUUAUGUCCUGGGCUACACACGUAAUACAAUGGUGGCCAACAGAGGGAAGCGAAGCCGUGAGGCGGAGCAAAUCCCUAAAAGCCAUCUCAGUUCGGAUUGCAGGCUGCAACUCGCCUGCAUGAAGCUGGAAUUGCUAGUAAUCGCGGAUCAGCAUGCCGCGGUGAAUACGUUCCCGGGCCUUGUACACACCGCCCGUCACACCAUGAGAGUCGGGAACACCCGAAGUCCGUAGUCUAACCGCAAGGGGGGCGCGGCCGAAGGUGGGUCCGGUAAUUGGGGUGAAGUCGUAACAAGGUA